rnacentral:rRNA from 1 species
GACGAACGCUGGCGGCGUGCUUAACACAUGCAAGUCGAACGGAAAGGCCCUGCUUUUGUGGGGUGCUCGAGUGGCGAACGGGUGAGUAACACGUGAGUAACCUGCCCUUGACUUUGGGAUAACUUCAGGAAACUGGGGCUAAUACCGGAUAGGAGCUCCUGCUGCAUGGUGGGGGUUGGAAAGUUUCGGCGGUUGGGGAUGGACUCGCGGCUUAUCAGCUUGUUGGUGGGGUAGUGGCUUACCAAGGCUUUGACGGGUAGCCGGCCUGAGAGGGUGACCGGCCACAAUGGGACUGAGAUACGGCCCAGACUCCUACGGGAGGCAGCAGUGGGGAAUAUUGCACAAUGGGCGGGAGCGUGAUGCAGCAACGCCGCGUGCGGGAUGACGGCCUUCGGGUUGUAAACCGCUUUCGCCUGUGACGAAGCGUGAGUGACGGUAAUGGGUAAAGAAGCACCGGCUAACUACGUG